rnacentral:rRNA from 1 species
AUUGAACGCUGGCGGCAGGCCUAACACGUGCCAGUCGAGCGGAUGAAGGGAGCUUGCUCCUGGAUUCAGCGGCGGACGGGUGAGUAAUGCCUAGGAAUCUGCCUGGUAGUGGGGGAUAACGUCCGGAAACGGGCGCUAAUACCGCAUACGUCCUGAGGGAGAAAGUGGGGGAUCUUCGGACCUCACGCUAUCAGAUGAGCCUAGGUCGGAUUAGCUAGUUGGUGGGGUAAAGGCCUACCAAGGCGACGAUCCGUAACUGGUCUGAGAGGAUGAUCGGUCACACUGGAACUGAGACACGGUCCAGACUCCUACGGGAGGCAGCAGUGGGGAAUAUUGGACAAUGGGCGAAAGCCUGAUCCAGCCAUGCCGCGUGUGUGAAGAAGGUCUUCGGAUUGUAAAGCACUUUAAGUUGGGAGGAAGGGCAGUAAGUUAAUACCUUGCUGUUUUGACGUUACCAACAGAAUAAGCACCGGCUAACUUCGUG